rnacentral:pre_miRNA from 1 species
ACAACAAUGUCGGUCGGUAGACCGAGCAAUAUCACCCGCUCGGUGGAAGAUCUUUCCUUUGUAGU